rnacentral:rRNA from 1 species
UACGUAGGGCGCAAGCGUUGUCCGGAAUUAUUGGGCGUAAAGAGCUCGUAGGCGGUUUGUCGCGUCUGCUGUGAAAACCUGAGGCUCAACCUCGGGCUUGCAGUGGGUACGGGCAGACUAGAGUGCGGUAGGGGGUGACUGGAAUUCCUGGUGUAGCGGUGGAAUGCGCAGAUAUCAGGAGGAACACCGAUGGCGAAGGCAGGUCACUGGGGCCGCAAACUGACGCUGGAGGAGCGGAAAAGCAUGGGGGAGCGAACAGG